GAUGAACGCUGGCGGCGUGCCUAAUACAUGCAAGUAGAACGCUGAAGGAGGAGCUUGCUCUUCUGGAUGAGUUGCGAACGGGUGAGUAACGCGUAGGUAACCUGCCUGGUAGCGGGGGAUAACUAUUGGAAACGAUAGCUAAUACCGCAUGACAACAGUUAUUGCAUGAUAACUGUUUAAAAGGGGCAACUGCUCCACUACCAGAUGGACCUGCGUUGUAUUAGCUAGUUGGUGAGGUAACGGCUCACCAAGGCGACGAUACAUAGCCGACCUGAGAGGGUGAUCGGCCACACUGGGACUGAGACACGGCCCAGACUCCUACGGGAGGCAGCAGUAGGGAAUCUUCGGCAAUGGACGGAAGUCUGACCGAGCAACGCCGCGUGAGUGAAGAAGGUUUUCGGAUCGUAAAGCUCGGUUGUAAGAGAAGAACGAGUGUGAGAGUGGAAAGUUCACACUGUGACGGUAUCUGACCAGAAAGGGACGGCUAACUACGUG
rnacentral:rRNA from 1 species